rnacentral:rRNA from 1 species
UACGGAGGGUGCGAGCGUUGUCCGGAAUCACUGGGCGUAAAGGGCGCGUAGGCGGCGCGGAUAGUCGGCGGUGAAAGCCCGGAGCUCAACUCCGGGUCGGCCGUCGAUACUUCCGGGCUUGGGCACUGUAGAGGCAGAUGGAAUUCCGGGUGUAGCGGUGGAAUGCGUAGAGAUCCGGAAGAACACCGGUGGCGAAGGCGGUCUGCUGGGCAGUUGCUGACGCUGAUGCGCGACAGCGUGGGGA